rnacentral:lncRNA from 10 species
GCUAAAUUUAAUUCAAAGGAUGAGUUUUAUUUUACAAAGUUAAGAGUUCUGGGUUAUUUGUGCUGAAGGAGGCAGUUUUGAACUGAGGCCAAAAAAAGGGAUUGAUGAUAUUUCCCAGGCUAGAAUGGGAACUGUGUGACCUUGCUGCAUACAACCAGGCCUAGGCAGAGGAAGACAGAAUGAGAACAAAAGAGCAGAGCUCUGACUGUGUCCGCCAGGGCACAGCUACUCAGGUCUACUCGCUGUGUGAGAACCGAAAGCGCAAGUCAGGCUCACUGCACCUGCAUAUGGGGAAGCCAGAAAAACCUGUUCCAAACUUCUGAGACAUGACGGUACAUGAUGAAUCCUGUUUCUAUCCCAACUAACAUCUCUGCCCUUAGCUGGAGUAUCUGGUGCACUUAUAUUUAAUACCUGUCCUAACACUGAAGGAUCAUAAAAAAUUUGCUUUCACCAAGAAGUUCAGAAACUUUAACAUGGCUGAUGUGAUAAAGUGUUGGGUCUUUCUCUGAAGCUCAAGAAGGAAGGAGAAUUUGAGGAAGGCUGAACUCAGAGAAGAGAGGUGAUAAAAUAGAGAGAAAGGUCUCUGGAGAGAUCAGCUACACCGUAGCCAGCUGGGACCUGUGGAGGACGAAGAUCAUUAUGAUAUUCCCUGCAGCAGGAAGCAGCAAAUGAACUGUCAGGCCAGUGAGGUCUGACACCCAAUUAUAAGUUGUCAAAUAUAUACACAGCGUCUUUCCAUCAUACCUACAUUUGUUAACGUUAUUUUUAUUUACCUUCUGUUUUGUGUCCAGCACUGAUAUUGUGCUAAAUCCUUCAGACAAAGUUUGGUGCUUUCAUGACCUGACUAUGUGUUUGCAGUAAGUGUUUGGAGAAAUGAGGGAGAUGAGAGAAGAAGUGCUGUGUAUGUUCACAUUUUGGGGCACAGCAGUCCCCAGAUCAGCUGGGGAAGCAAGGUGAGCUAGUGACAAGUUGGCCAGAAAGUAUAGAUGAGCAGCAAGAAACAGGAGUGGAGAGAGACAGGGUGAACCGGGGGGUGGGAGAGAGAGCUGGAAGUCUUAAGAUUAAGCCAAGAAGUGUGGCAAUAAGAUGUUGUCACUCUGAGAUGGCAGGGAGAGUUAGUCAUCAUAUUAUGCCAUAUUAGAUAUUUAUAAUUGCUUGAGAGUCAUACCUAUGGAUGUAAUCUCUGCUAUGCACCAACUAGCCAUGAGAAUUGUGGGCAAGCUAUUUCAUGUCCCAGAGCUUCCUCAAUUUCUUACUCUGUAAGUUUCUCCUUUGUUCUUAUUUGCUUCAUGGCACUGGUUGACCCCAUCUGUUCCUGCUCACACACAGCCAAUGGAUCCACAACACACAACUGCAUGGGCCCAGAGGUGGCGGGCUUCACUCUCAAUCACUAAUUUCCAAAUAGAUCUGGAAAAAGAAGUUGAUGAAGGGAGCUAGGUGAACUCAUGGUAGUUCCUAAGAAUCCCCUUUCCUUGAAUGCUCAGACUGAUCCUGUUUUACAGACCUUUCAUGGCCCCAGUAUCUUGGCACCAUUUGUUAUGCAAAAGUUUAUCUAGGGCAGAUGGGAUGUCUCCAAAUCUUCCAUUUGCCUGGCGAGCCUAAGACAGUGUUCUUGAUGUGCUUUUGCUGCCUGCCCUGCUCAGCUUGGCGUUGCCUGGUGGUGGUCACUGUGCCUGUGCAAUCCCUCCAUUUCCUAAUGUCAGGCUCAAUGCAGGGAUGUGGGCUGAAUCACAAUUGAGGGGCGCACUGAGAGCUGAGGGAGCACAGAAAGGUUGAGAAUCAAUGAGCAAAUGACCGAGUCCUUGAGGAGUUUAAAUAUAUCUGAAAUCUUGGAGCAAUACAGCCAGUCCCUGCAAACAGGGUUAAAUUUCAAACUUAAGCAUUAUAACACAUGUCUAUGAAGUUUCUGUUUUGCAAUGCUUAAAACUCCCGUUGACACUAUGGGGCUGAGAAAAGGCCCAUUUUUACUUAAAGCAAUAAGUGUGUCAUUCACCAAGGCAACGCUACCUUUCCCAUGAUAAAUGGAACUGAAGCUGUUUUUGGGCUGCUACCAAAAAUAUGCUGAGGAACAUCUAUCACAUAAACGAGAUUCCUUAAUUGUUUAGCAUAAAGAUUUUCCAGCAUUCUAAAUAAAUUGAUUCCUCCUAGUUUAAACAAGAAAAUGUGUCUUUUUUUUAAAGAUAUAAACAGUGACAGCUAUAGAAGGAUCAAAUACAAAAAGAAAUUUCUUCCAUUAAGUCACUUCCAGAGGUUGUCAUUUUCUUAAAGACCACACACACGCUUACUCACACCCACACAUACACAGGACUAAUACAAAUUACAGCUAACUGGGAAAAUCUCAACAAUUUUUGCUAAUUUAUUUUGUUGGCUUUUUCCCCCUAAAAAUGGCAGCAAAAAUGAAUAAAAUUGUGAAGCUCUGCACAGUAAUACAAUGUUACCAUGAAGAAACAUGUAGAGUUGCUAAUCCCAUGCAUUUAGUUGUUUAAUUGAUUGUUUUUAUAUUUUUUAAUGCAAGAAGAGUGACAUCAACUUGAAGACCCCAUUAGAUACUAACUUCAUACAGGAACAUUUUUUGCUUCUUUUGAUUUUUAGGGUUGACCUUACUUUUUCAGAGCCACACAUUUAAUAAUAAUGCAUUAAUAGUAAUGCAUUUAACUGUAGUGAACACAAAUGUUAAGUGUAUGGUUUCAGCGGUAAACCUAAGAUACAACCCAGUUUCUAUCUAGACAUCUUCCGUUAGCCUUUGCUCUGACUGGUUUAAGAGAGAUCCUACUUUCAACUUAAACAGAAUAAGGACAUCAACUUGCAUUCCCUGUGCUCUUAAUUAGUGUUUCCUACAAAACAAUAAGGUAAAGCAAAUAAACAGAAAAAAAGCACAAGGGGCGUGAAAUUCAAUUCCUGGAAGAGGAAGGUUGACGGUCAAUAAGCUCAUGAGGGCAUGUUCAACCUCCCUUAUAAAAGAGAGAAAGGAAGAUUAAAGAAACAAUAUGAUGCCAUUUCUCACCUGCUUAGCAGAUCAGCCAAAAAUUAGAAGUCUGACUACCUGAGACUGGGUAAGGACAUGGUGUUAUGGGAACCCCACUCGCUGCUUGUGAGGUUACACAUCUAUAUAUUUUGAAGGAAAAUUUGGCAUCAUCUAGAAAAGCUGUACAUUUUUUUUAUUGUGAAAUAUUUUUAGUAUACAAAAAAGGUAGAGAAAAUAUAAUAAACCUCUAUGUACCUUCCAUCUAGCAUGAAAAAUAUACACUGAAAAUGCUCUGUUUAUCUUUCCUCAUUCCCCUUUUCCUCAUCUCAAGUGAAACCACUGUCUUGAACUUGGCAUUUGUCAUUUUUCAUGCUUAUUUCACUACUUAUGUAUGUAUCCAUACACCACAUUUUUGACCUUUACAUAAAUGGUAUUAUAUUGUAUAUUCCUUCCUGCAACUUGGGUUUUUGUUUAUUCCCUUUUUCUUGAGCUAAAUAUUAUCUUUAUGAAAUUUAUCCACAUGUUAAUUUAUCUAUAUAUCCAUGAUAUAUGUAGCUGUAGCUUGUUAAUUUUAACUUCUUAUAGUGUUCCUUCGGUAAAUACACUGCAGUUUAUUUUUUAGUCCCCUACAGAUGUUCAAUUAGUUUUAUUUUUCCAGGUUUUUUGUUUUUUGGCUCUUAUAAACAAUACUGCAAUAAGCAUUCCUGUGUGGAUAUUUACUGUGAAAAUGUGGGUGAGUUUUUCUGGGUCUGUAUUGUACUCUACGGAGUAGUAUGGGGUAGUUUAGAAGAAAACUUCUCAACCUUUAACAUGCGUUUGAACUUUCUAAAAAUGCAAAUUCUGAUUCAGUAAAUCUAGCGUGCAAAUAGAAAUUCUGCCUCUCUAACAAGCUCCAAGGUGAUGGCAAUGUUGCUGGGCCAUGGACCAGGCUGGGCGUUUAUGAGAUCUCAGAGCUGUUUGCUUUCCAGGCAGCUUCUUAGUACAUCCCUGUGAGGAAACAUCAGCAUGCUUGUAGUCUCUUCAUCUAUACCACAAAUGGCAUUAUUCUGGUUUACUCUUUAAUACUGAAUGGACCACUUUUCACAGGAUAACCUUUCCAAAAAACUGAAUACGCCAUAACAAAGUCUUUAAAAGAUACAAUACCAUCUUUUUUGAGACCGAGUCUUGCUCUGUUGCCCAGGCUGGAGUGCAGUGGCGUGAUCUCAGCUUACUGCAACCCUUGCCACCCAGGUUCAAGCGAUUCUCCUGCCUUAGCCUCCAGAGUAGCUGGGAUUACAGACUCAGGCCACCAUGCUCAGCUAAUUUUUUGUAUUUUGUAAAGACAGGGUUUCACCAUGUUGGCCAGGCUGGUUUCGAACUCCUGACCUCAAAUGAUCCACCUGCCUUGGCCUCCCAAAGUGCUGGGAUUACAGGUGUAAGCCACUGCACCUGGCUGAGAUACAAUAGCAUUUCUUUGCAAAGUCUUAAAGUUGUUAUAAAACACGCCUUGAAUUUGAUAUAUAGGUGAAGUUAUCUGUCAGCAUUGGCCAGGCGCUGGUGCUGAGCACGUAUAGUGCUGGAGUUAAAGGGUUGCGAUGGCAUUUGCCUAGGGGAAAAAGGCUGUGUCCUUUGUCUUUUAUUUUCUUAACUAAGUAGUGAAAUGUGUUUGUCUGGAGGUUUUUUGUUUUGUUGUUUUGUUUUAU